UACGAAGGGGCUAGCGUUGCUCGGAAUCACUGGGCGUAAAGGGUGCGUAGGCGGGUCUUUAAGUCAGGGUGAAAUCCUGGAGCUCAACUCCAGAACUGCCUUUGAUACUGAGGAUCUUGAGUUCGGAGAGGUGAGUGGAACUGCGAGUGUAGAGGUGAAAUUCGUAGAUAUUCGCAAGAACACCAGUGGCGAAGGCGGCUCACUGGCCCGAGUACUGACGCUGAGGCACGAAAGCGUGGG
rnacentral:rRNA from 1 species